UGGAGAGUUUGAUCCUGGCUCAGAUUGAACGCUGGCGGCAGGCCUAACACAUGCAAGUCGGGCGGUAACAGGGAGAAGCUUGCUUCUCUGCUGACGAGCGGCGGACGGGUGAGUAAUGUAUGGGGAUCUGCCUGAUGGCGGGGGAUAACUACUGGAAACGGUAGCUAAUACCGCAUAAUGUCUUCGGACCAAAGCGGGGGACCUCCGGGCCUCGCGCCAUCAGAUGAACCCAUAUGGGAUUAGCUAGUAGGUGAGGUAACGGCUUACCUAGGCGACGAUCCCUAGCUGGUCUGAGAGGAUGAUCAGCCACACUGGGACUGAGACACGGCCCAGACUCCUACGGGAGGCAGCAGUGGGGAAUAUUGCACAAUGGGCGCAAGCCUGAUGCAGCCAUGCCGCGUGUAUGAAGAAGGCCUUCGGGUUGUAAAGUACUUUCAGUCGGGAGGAAGGUGGCUAAGGUUAAUAACCUUAUCCAAUUGACGUUACCGACAGAAGAAGCACCGGCUAACUCCGUGCCAGCAGCCGCGGUAAUA
rnacentral:rRNA from 1 species